rnacentral:lncRNA from 1 species
UGUGAUAUGUGUGAUAUAUGUGUGCGUGUGAUGUGUGUGUGAUGUCUGUGUGAUGUAUAUAUGUGUCCUCUGUUUGUGCGUGUGAUGUGUGUGUGUGUCUCUGUGUGUCUGUGUGUGUGGUGUGUGUAUGUGUGUCUGUAUGUGUGAUGUGUAUGUGUGUGUGUGUAUUUGUGUGUGUGAUGUGUAUGUGUGUGUCUCUGUGUGUGUGAUGUGUAUGUGUGUGUGUCUGUAUGUGUGAUGUUUGUGUGUGUGUGAGAUACGUGUGUCAGGUGUGUGAUGUGUGUGUGCGUGUGUGUGUGAUGUGUGUGAUGUGUGUGAUGUGUGUGUGUGAUGUGUGUGUGUGAUGCGUGGGUGAUGUAUGUGUGAUGUGGGUGUGUGUUGUGUGUGUGAUGAGUGUGUGAUUUUAGUGAUGUAUUUGUGUGUGUAUGUGUGCGUGUGUGUGAUGUGUGUGAUGUGUAUGUAUGUGUGUGUGUGGGUGAUAUGUGUGUGUGUGUUUGUGUGUGAUGUCUGUGUAAUUUCUGUGUGUGUGUGUGAUGUGUGUGUGAUGUGU